rnacentral:lncRNA from 1 species
UGGAUCACUGAAGGUAACAAGGCCAGAUCCCUUGAAGUCACAGUUCCAGUAGUUUCUUCCAUGCAUCUGAUAAUAUGCAUUCAUGGCAUAUGAUGCAUGUGCAUGUAACUUAUCAGGUGCAAAGCAAUCUCCAUUUUCAUCGAUCUCCCUGCAAUCAACUCCUCCUGGUCCACAGCAAAAAUCAAUCACAGACUGAACAACCUUAUCAUCUGCAUGUGGUUUAGCCACACACCAAACAGAAGGACCCCUUGCCACACUGGAUCCUUUCUCCCCAAAACCUAGUUUAUUAUCUGCAUUGGUAUGCAUUCAUGGCAUAUGAUGCAUGUGCAUGUAACUUAUCAGGUGCAAAGCAAUCUCCAUUUUCAUCGAUCUCCCUGCAAUCAACUCCUCCUGGUCCACAGCAAAAAUCAAUCACAGACUGAACAACCUUAUCAUCUGCAUGUGGUUUAGCCACACACCAAACAGAAGGACCCCUUGCCACACUGGAUCCUUUCUCCCCAAAACCUAGUUUAUUAUCUGC